GGCGGGCGCCCUGUCGGCGGAGAGCGCGUCUCGAGCGGAAGUGAUGAGAGUGAAAAUUACCCGGUGAGCCGCACAUGAAGAAACCGCAUCGGUCCAGCUCGUGACCGCCAAUCCCGUUGUGUUGCAAGCCGCGCGUGAAGGCGGGGGAUGUUAUUUCCACAUACUGCCUCCUGCUUUUGACUCCACGAAGAACCUUUCCAUUCAGAUACUGCUCCGGGGCAAUUUUGAAGUGAAGGCGAAAGACGCGCCUGCGAUUAAUGAGGAUGUGGUAAUGCAGUAAGACACGUCCUCUCAGUGCAUGUCCCAGCUCAAACACACCACAUGAUCGUGUGUAGCAUAAGCCCCGUGGACAGUGCGCUCAUUCUGUCGCUGUCCUUCGUCGUCACGUCCCUCCUUCGCUGCGACCCGACC